GGAGGCGAGGCCGUCCAAAAACGCUGGGUGUCAGGCCGGGCUGGCUAAUGGAGGGCGGCUUUUCUGGUGGGAUGAAAUGGGACGGCAAAUCCCACUUCAUUCCCUUUGGGCUAUGACAACAUCAUAGUCCAAGCUCCCAUUUUAUGAACAGGGAAACUGAGGCUCAGUGACUAGACAGACGUUGCCCAGAGUCAUGGUCGUGGAGGAAGCUUGUGCUAGAACGGUGGAGAGGAAACCAGAGCCCAGCUCCCAAUGCAAGGCUCUUUCAUUCCUUUAGCCACCCUCGCCCCCGCCAAAACAAACAAACAAAAAACUGUCAUUCUCAUAUGACCACGGACUCUGCGCCCCGGCCGCAGCCGGAGGGCAGGGAGGAGCGCACACGAGAAAGCUCCCACGCGCCCGCGGCUCGCCUCCGACGGGAAGGCGCCUCUUCCGACCGUCUGGAUGCAAAUUGAAUACUUUCCUCCGCAGAAGACUUAUCUCGGGGUAGGGCCGCAGCCGGAUUUCCAAGUCGCGGGUUUGAUUUUCGCGGCGUCCUCUCCGCGACCAGCGCAGAGAGCGCGCCCGGCCACCUGCAGCCUCGGGCUGCGGCCAUCUUUCCGCCUGGAGCCACCUGGGCUGCGCCCUUUGUGCCCGGCCCGCUCCAUGACUGUUCUUCUUGCCGCUUCUUACAGAACUCAGCCGCCUUAGCGUCUUAGAGGAUAGCAUGCACGCGGACCCCGUCCACCACACCUGGGGAGCAGAGAGCCCUUAGUCCCUGGACACUUACCAGGGCCGCCACCCCUGGUCCACGCACGUGAUGACAUCUCACUGGGGCAGCACACCGCCCCGAGUCCGCGACACUGAUAACACCUCCCGCGGGCAGGAGCGCGCCACAGCCACCCCUGGUCCCCUAGAUUGUGUGAGGCUGGCAUUUCUGCCCGCCUCUUGGCGUGGACAGCACGCUGGACCGAGAUGGAGCCACAGCUUUCUCUUCCCAAUCCCUGGCCUCACCAUUUUGUUUCAUACCUCACUGUUUGUUUCAAACCUCGUGGUGUUGAAAGGAUUAAAUGAGAUAAGGGGUGUGGUAGUGUUGGGCAAACCACAAAAACGGUCUGGGUGGGGUCUGGCCCUAAAAUCCUCCUCCCCCACCUCCCAGGCUUCUUUGCCUUGCCGCUUCCUCUCAGCCUUUAAACAGGCUGGCCUCUCCAAGUCCUAAAAACAAAAUCAUCAAGCCAACCUCCUCCUGAAAUGCCCCCUCCAACUAGCUUCCAAGUGUUUCAUGCGGACCUCAAACAGUGGGUCUUCCCUGGCUGCCUCUGCUUCCUCAUUUCUCAACACUUGGCAUUCUGGCUUCUCCUCCCCAACUCUAACCCUUCAAGACCUUGCUCAGGCAAGAGUAACUCGUGACUUUCAUUUUGCCAAACUUUGCAAGCAUUCCUCAGGCCUUAUCUCUCUGGUUCUUUCUGCUACAACUGACACCUUGGGAUGGCUCUCACCUUCUGGAACCUCUCUACUACCUUGGUUUCAGAAGAGUGAACCCUCUCAAUUGUCACAUGAAGCUACUUCCUGUGAGCAGCCCAGGGACGGCCAGUCACUUGUGACCUAUUUUCAGAGCUGGCAGUUCUGACUUCGAGAACAAACUCGGAACAAGCCCAUCUACAGCUGGUUGACUGAGUUUCCUUUGGGCUCCCGGCACCAGAAAGAAUUGCUCACUGGAAGGAUCAUAGGUGACGCUCCUGUCUCACUGCCCCACUCAGGGACCAUCAUGCACGUGGAUGAUCAACGGUCAGUUCCUGGUCAACAUAAGUAAACAAGCCUCUUAAAGAUAAAUUCCCCCACACUCCCUUGUACCUACUCCUUGCCCUCUGCCCCAGGGUUAUAGAACAGCUGCUUUCUGCUAUUCUCCCCCCAGGCUCUGCAGAACCUUCUGACCUUUCAGAAGGUUUGCGUCCUUUCCCUGUAGUUUUUCCACCACUCUGACCAAUCUCCCACAAUGCAUAGCCUUGUAUGCAAAGCCAGGCCUGUCCGUGCAGGGUGACAAUCCAAGGCAGACAGUGGCAAAAUCUGGUGGAGGCAUCAGAGAUAGUACCAUCAGUUUGCUGGAACAAGCAUAUC